CUCUAUAUAAGGAAGGCGAAGAUCUAUUUGCUUCUAUCGAAAGUUAUUUAUGGUAUAGCGGCCAUUCUUAAAGAGUGAAAGCAAGAAAUUAACAAUAGCUGAGGUCAUGUAACUGAGAAGAGGGAAAGGGAGAUUGGAGCUACUGGAAGUUAUGGGAAUGGGCUGUUUGGGAUGAAAGAAAGUGGAAGAAAGUUCUGAUCUUUGCGGAGUUGAUUCUUCCCAAAGCCGCCCAUUCCAAUGACUUCCGGCGGUUCCUCCCUUUCCCUACCAUCUCUACCCAUUUUACCCGUUUUGGGUUUCUGCUAUUCUGCCUCGUUGAGUAAUCUGUACAAGCAACUAAGUUUCGCCACCCGCCGGCAGAAAGAGGGAAACGGAUUGAAAGAGAACAAAGUCAAGUGUUUAGAUUUGAAUAUAAGAUGCUCUUAUCUUUCUUUACAGGAUAAUUAUAACAUGCAGUUUCAUAUGGUGGAUCGUGUUAAUUUUUCGGACUAGGGUUCUUGUAUAAAUCAACCCUGUUUGGAUCUCGGUAAUAACGAGGGGAAAAUAAUCUGGGAAAUUGAUUAUUAUUAUUAUUUUUUGGAUUGAUUUAUUUCAGGGAACUAUAAUUUUGCAAUGA